CAUCCCAUCACUGAAGGAGCGGAAUGGUGUCUUAGAAAACUAUCAUUUCAAAAUUCUUCAUAAAGGGACAGAGAUAUUAACAGGAACAAUUUCAGUCUCCCUCUCAAUACAACGUGUUGAACAAAAUUUUACAGUUGUACCAGAUGAAACAUAUACUGUAACGGUAUAUGUCACAAAUAAUGAGAGUAUGUCCGGUCAGGUUGUCCAACAAACCUAUACUGUACCUGCUGGGCG